CCACCUCUUCCUUCCCCCUCUUCUUUUCUCUUUUCAUCUCUCGCCAUUAAUUAGAUCUAUCUCCGAUCCCCCGAGCUACCUUAGUUUACUUAUUUUCUUUUGAGUACUUGUAUUCGAACCUCAGCUCCGAAGGCUGCCUUUGAAUUCCAUGAAUUUCUUUCAUGACUAUACUUUUCUGUCUCCGAUCUGUUUUUCUUUUGUUGAAGAUCGAUGAACAAUCACCGGGGGGCCUAGCAAACACAACACACACUCCUAACCACUCCCAGCAAGCCACGUCAGCAUCUCCCUCGUGGCCUUGCCGCUGCUAAAAAUUUACUCAUCUCAUCAGCAUAUAAAGUAAUCAUCAUAACAUCUGAUCUCAAUUGAUUAUUAUCUUUUCUUCUUUAUCUCUCUCUCUCUCUGUGUUUUUGAUUCUUCUGUACCCUACAACUACAACUACAGAAGUGUUAGGAGACGAGCUUCCUUGUGAUUGGUCUUUACUCUCUACUCUUUCUGAGUAAUCUAUACAUGAAGUUAUGCUGCAGCUUCUUCUACUUCGUAUGCACGUGUUUAAUUAGCAGGAAGUUGCAUGGGGAUGAAGAAAUCAAAGUAAAAGCAGUCGUUGUUUGCGGAUGUAGCAUCAUCAAGAUUCACAUGCUGCAACAAGUGCUAGCUUAUGAGAAUCUUGAUGAUGCUGCAUCGGCCAUAAACGACUUUAGUAGUGGGUAGGAGGUGGGAACUGGUGGAACAACAUCUUCACACACGAGAUCUAGAGGCACCAUCACCACAGAAAUUAAAUAUAUUUUAGGUAGUAAUGGACAUAUAUUCUUCCAAGUGGUUGGAUAUGCAUCUGGGAAUUAUAAGAUAUCACUGAAAAAUUGGAAGUUGGAUAUGCAAAUUAUCAAAGCGCAUACACUAUUGUCUGAUUUCUAUGAUCAACUAUCUUUUGCUCAAAGGUGGACCAACACCUAUAGAUGCUGCAACGUUGAACCAUUGUUAAGGAAUAUUUUCAUCUAAAUUUGGGGAGUCUAUAUAUACUUCCACCUCUCUAACCAUGCAUCUCCUACAUGCUGGUCCACAUGAAUCUUAUGUAAGUACUAGCUAAUUUCAUAUAUGUGUAUAUAAAUUGAGUUAAGCUAUAUUCUUCUCUACAUAUAUUUCCUUGCCUUUUAAUAGUAAUACAUAAAAAAAUAAACUAAAAAGUAAUAAGUGUAUGCUUUUUUAAUAGUUUGGCAUACAAAUGCACUUAAUACUCUUCUGUUUUAUAACUAGUAAUUAAAUAUGUGAUAUAAGAAACUGAGUUAAGUGUAUUAAGAAUAUUAUUUGUGCACUUCUUUAGCUGUACAAUUUAUUCAUCGGUAUCUUCAUAAACAGUGAGAAUUGAAACAAUACACAGUAGUUAGCAUCAGUGUCUUAAAAUCGGCCUUAUAAGUGCUUUACAAGUAACAUUUUUCUGUUCAUCUUAUCAUCUCUUUCACUUUCUUUACAUUAGUUUUGUAGGUUACUCUAUUUAAUCAAUAACCACCACCACCAUCUUAUUCACCAAAUUAAUAUGAUGAUCAGCACAUAAAUUAAAACAAAACAAAUGUCUUGCUUAUAGAAUAUCUAAAAAUUUCACGUAUCUAUAAUAAUAAUAAUCAUCUCUAAAUUUUCUUUUAUCAAACAUUAUUAAUUAGUUACACCUUUAGUUGAGAUUUAAAUUUAACUUCUACUGAAAUCAUAAUGUAUGCAUAUAUAUUUCUUCCUUGGUUCCGGCCAGCCAUGGUACAAAAAUUAUUGCAUUGAUAAUGCAUAAACUCAACUACUCUUCAUUCAUAAAUGUAUAAUAUUAUCUUGUUAUUCAAUACAACAAAAUAAGUCAAUAUAAA